GUGAGGAAUAUUGCGCAAUGGAGGCAACUCUGACGCAGCCAUGCCGCGUGCAGGAAGAAGGCGCUACGCGUUGUAAACUGCUUUUAACCGGGAAGAAACCCCAGGACGUGUCCUGGGUUGACGGUACCGGAGGAAUAAGCACCGGCUAACUUCGUGCCAGCAGCCGCGGUAAUACGAAGGGUGCAAGCGUUAUCCGGAUUCAUUGGGUUUAAAGGGUGCGUAGGCGGAGCGUUAAGUCAGUGGUGAAAUCCUGCAGCUUAACUGUAGACUUGCCAUUGAUACUGGCGCUCUUGAGUGCGCUUGAAGUGGGCGGAAUGUGCCGUGUAGCGGUGAAAUGCUUAGAUAUGGCACAGAACACCAAUUGCGAAGGCAGCUCACUAAGGCGAUACUGACGCUGAGGCACGAAAGCGUGGGGAGCGAACCGGAUUAGAUACCCUGGUAGUCC
rnacentral:rRNA from 1 species